UAACACCUUAAAUUGAGUCUAGAUGUACUUGACGUGACAAGAGAUGAGGUACUGAGCCUGAAAAGCGAGAAAAACAAGUUCCAUAAAGACAGUUGCUAUGGAAGCACUGUACCCUGGAGGGUCGUAUCCCGUGGAGAUGGUGAUGCGACUGGGUAGCAUUAUACAGCAUGUACCUGCACAGCUGCGUCCUGGUCUACUGGGGCUCAAAUCUGUGUAUCCAGACCAACAGGCACAGGUGUAUGAGCCAUUCGUGUUUUCACAGGAAGCCCACGGAGAGCAGUCCGCCUCAGCUGCCAAACACUCAUUUAAAUCUAUAAAUAACAAGAGACCAAUCACAUCUCAAGUCAACAUGUCACAUUAUUAACAAUGCUUUUCUGUAGAGACGCAAUAAAAUCUCUGGACAUGCUAGACAUGGUCAGGUUGCUGCUGGGUUGAAAAAUGAUGGAAAAGU